rnacentral:tRNA from 1 species
CCACUGGUAGCGCAGUGGUUAUCGCACCAGACCGGUAUUCUGGAGGUCGUGGGUUCAGAUCCCACCUAGUGGG